AGUAGCGAGUGACGAAGGCUAGCAGUGGCAACAGCGGUGACGAGGAUUUCAGCUAAUUGACGUUCAUUGAUCUCCGACAACGACACUAUCUACUCUUUCCGUUCAUUCUUCGAUUGAUCUCCUCUUCUCCUUUUCUCUAUAUCUGAAACCUUCUCUGGGACUCUAUAUUUUGUAAAUUGUAAUCUUCUUUAAUUCGCCAAAAAAAUUAGGGUUUCUUUUGUUUGUAAAUUAAGACGGUGUAAAGCAUGAUUAGAUUCACAAUCAGAAGAAAUUGCCAAAGCAAAUACACAAAUCACUCACCCAGCAAUCCAUGAAAUACACAAAUCACUCACCCAGCAAUCCAUCAAGUUCCUAAUCGGCAGAAGGUUGAUUGCCUUCAGGUAGAUGGUGUCUUACAGAAGGAAUCUCGUAUAUUGUGCAUCUACUAGGUGGGUGAUCAGAAUAGGGGUUAUCUGUUGGAGCUUAUGUUGACAAAGCUUCGUUGUGCAGCUGGUGAAGGCAAUAUACAAUCAUCUAGUGGAGGAAGUUCAGAUACAAGCAGUGGGAAAACUGAUCCUUCUCAUGGUCUCCAAAUUGUUGGUAUGACUGCAACCUUGCCAAGUGUGGCUGCUGUUGCUGAUUGGCUUCGAGACAAUGAAGUUAUGGGAAGUGGAUUUGGUCAUAAAUGCAUUGAAAAGUCAGUCUUAAGAGCAUCAGUAUCAAACUAGCUAAAAUCACUUUUUAGCUAAAUUAGUGAUACUGUUCAUCAAAAAUGGACUGCAUAGUCUCACCUCUCUCUCUUGCUAAUAUACGAGCGCUACAGUACCUCUCUGUCCUUGUUUGUAGGUGAACUUGAAUUGCCUUUUGUAAGUCUACUACUGGUGAUUUUGGCUCCUUAUCAACUUAUGAACCUAAGAUAUAUUCGGAGUAGAAGUUUGCUUCUUGUGGAUUUCAUGCCUGUGAAGAAUGCCACUAAUUUUUGUUUUUGUACCACAGAGAAUGCUGAGGAAAACUUUUAAUUUUGAUUUAUGUUAUUUUGAAUUAUGAAUAACAUUAUGUAUUUAAAUAUUAUAUAUGUAUUAUGGAAUAUUAUGUACUGGGUGAAUUUUGUUGAUGCAUAGUUAUGAAUGUAAGAAUAUGUUUAUUAUGGAGAAAUUAUUAUUUCUAUAUAGGAAUUUUUA